rnacentral:rRNA from 1 species
AUUGAACGCUGGCGGCAGGCCUAACACAUGCAAGUCGAACGAGUGGCGGACGGGUGAGUAAUGUCUGGGAAACUGCCCGAUGGAGGGGGGUAACUCCUGGAAACGGUAGCUAAUACCGCAUACCAUCGGAUGUGCCCAGAUGGGAUUAGCUAGUAGGUGGGGUAAGGGCUCACCUAGGCGACGAUCCCUAGCUGGUCUGAGAGGAUGACCAGCAACACUGGAAAUGAGACACGGUCCAGACUCCGACGGGAGGCAGCAGUGGGGAAUAUUGCACAAUGGGCGAAAGCCUGAGGCAGCCAUGCCGCGGGUAUGAAGAAGGCCUUCGGGUUGUAAAGUACUUUCAGCGGGGAGGCGUUACCCGCAGAAGAAGCACCGGCUAACUCAGUGCCAGCAGCCGCGGUAAUUC